rnacentral:lncRNA from 1 species
AAUAGGGUUUUAGACGAUUUCUGAUUUGUAGAAUGGGAGAUUUUCGGCCAAAGGAGUAAAACACACAUAUAUAGGCACCUAAAACCCUAAUGAAAUCAGAUUGAAACAAUGGGCUAGGGUUAAGGUUUGUAAAAUAGGGCUUCUAGGAUGGAAAGGUGCGGCAUGGGCUUAGGGUUUAUAAUCAGAUUUUUGCAUGUGAACAAGGCCUAGGUGCGGCUGAUUAAGUGGGCUAGGGUUAGGGUUUAGGUGCGGCAUAGGUCCAAGAAGUAAGGAUGGGUCAUCCAAAAGCCCAAAGCCGAGAAUAGAAACUCACG